UACGUAGGUGACAAGCGUUGUCCGGAUUUACUGGGCGUAAAGAGCGCGCAGGCGGUCGAUCAAGUCGAGUGUGAAAGCCCCCGGCUCAACCGGGGAGGGUCAUUGGAAACUGGAAGGCUUGAGUGCAGAAGAGAAGAGCGGAAUUCCACGUGUAGCGGUGAAAUGCGUAGAGAUGUGGAGGAACACCAGUGGCGAAGGCGGUUGCCUGGAGCUUUGCUGACGCUGAGGAGCGAAAGCGUGGGGAGCGAACAGG
rnacentral:rRNA from 1 species